rnacentral:lncRNA from 1 species
GCAUAAUGCAUCCUCAGACAGAGCUUGUUGAAUAGCUUGUUCAGGUCCACUCUGCGGGAAGCCAUCUCCGGUGAGAUGUUCGGCGUCUCCGAACUUCUCCAGGAUCCAGCGGCUAUCGGAACCGGAGACAUGGACAACACUGAUUGAGGUGUUAGGAAUUUUCCUGCCAACCGAGAUCGUUGGAUCGGCAUGCCUGCAGAUUUCCUCUAUGACUGCCUCAUGAGAGACGACGACCACCCGCUCACCUGUUGAUGCAACACACGACAGCUUGAAAUUCACCACCGGGUACAAGUUUUGACCAUACAGCAGAGAGCACCAGAAAUUACUAUGUGGAUCGGUGCUUACCCUUGUGCUUCUCGGCGAUUGCAUUCAAGCGGGAAACACAGCGCUCGGAAAGUUGAUCAAGACUCUCCCCACCACCCUGUCCAAAAGGAGAUGACUAGUGAGUAAUAUAUAGCUUUUACUUCAACUAAGACUAAUUAAGUACAACUUCGAGAUCAGAGGAGAAUGGAAAUUAGUUACAGGUAUUUCUUGGUCUCUGCCACCACGUGCGAAAGCCUUGUAAGCUUCAGAUCUCUUGGCAUCGUCAAUGGUCCAACCUUGGAACAAUCCCAUGUGCCUUUCCGUCAGUGCCCGAUCAAUCACCAGCUGAAACAGCACAGAAGCCCAUUUAUUCGGAUGAUAUAUAGAACACGAAUUCGUGAAGCGAGAAAAAUUAGCACAUCAAAAAACGUUCAUACAUCAGAAUCAGAUACGCAGCAAUGCGCUGCGAUCGUUUGCGCAGUCUGGGAAGCACGCUUCAAGUCAGAGGAGUAGACGGCAGCUGGCUUGGCUUCUUCCGACAGACGACGGGCAACCUUGAGGGUUUGAACAAAAUCAGAAUCACGUACAUAAUCUCAAGUCAUGACGAUCUCACAAAGUAUGGCGUACCUUGGCAGCUUGCUGCCUACCAGUUUCGUUCAGCUCCUGAUCGAUCCGUCCCUGUUGAAACUUAAAAUAAGCCUUAACACAUGUUGUAUUGCAUCGCAGAGGGAGAAUCAUAUCUAAGUGAUGCGAUAAGUAGCAAGCUGUGACAGGACAGGAUGAACAAGAAGCGACCUGAAUGAUGCGGGAGACGUUCCAAUCCGUCUGUCCAUGGCGCACCAACACCACCUCCGCGAAGUGCUCGCCGUGCGUCGAUGCAGGUGCCAUGAUCGAUCGGCCGGCGUUACUGCUGCAGAGGGAAGGGGAGAUGGAUGGUCUGGAACCUCUCUGAUGCUGUAUGAUCUAGCUGCCCUGCAGAGGGAAGGGGCGACUUUAUGGAGGCCAGAGGCACAAGGGAGGAAACGCCGCGGCGAAGACCUGGGAUUUCCCUCGACAGCACCAGGAGGCCAUCUCCAUGUACGAUUGUUGCUUGGACUCCAAUGCAUCUCCAUGUACGCGACCACGGCGAAAAGGCCAUUUCCGUCGAGCGCACCUCCAUGCGACGGUGGCGGGGGGUUGACUAAAAAAUUAGAAACACGGUUUGAGCCACAACAGCCAUUCCAACAGCAGCUUCCGGAAGGCUCUGGAAGGCUCUGGAAUCACAAGCAUAAUUCGUGUACGUUUUGAAGAUGGAAAGAUGGCGACCUGCUAGUUGACUUCCAACAGCAGGUUUGGGCAACACGCCAUUCCAGCAGCAGGUUUGGGCAACGCCAUUCGAGGAUCGGCUUCUCCAGGAAGUACGUGGCCAACUAAUAUAACCUGCAGUUGGUCGGCGGACCAAAUUAAAGAAGCUAUCCACUUUCUUCUGCAUCAAGACCUCCUGUUAACCGGCCCCAUCCACUUUCUUCUCCAUCAAGACCUCCGGGGUCCUGCGCGGACCAUUGGCGCGGCCACGUCGCCCUGUUUUCCCGACGUCGGAUCGUGCGAUCCCGUAGGCAUGUGGAAUUUUGCAAAAAAAACCUUCAGUUCUCCGCUAAUCUACUUCGGGUUUAGGGAGGACCCUCGCCAACUGUAACCACGUUCAAUUUAUUUGCGGCACACCCCUUUGGUUAAAUAAUAUUUCAACAUCAAGAAGAGAAAAUUCCAAUUCUGCGUCGCUUUUGAAAAAAACCACCUGCCUAUCAUUUUGCGAAGAACCCCACCGCAACCUCGCAGCAACACACACUUGGCCCCAAGCCACCGCUCCCUCCCAAUUCUCUCCACAUCCCCCUCUCUCUAACCCUCCCGCCCUACCUGACGGCUGCCGCACACUUUAGUUGGCAUUGUUAGUGUCUUUUGAUGUUCUUAAUGCCUGCUACUGGUUCAGAUUUAUUUCUUUCCCCUUCUGUAUUUAACUAGGUUUGGUAGUAGCUUGUAGCCUUGCCUUUAUUCAACCCUAGCACCAGUAAAUGUAGGCCAUGGAGUUAUAAAAAAUUGAUAAACCAGCCACUUCAAUAAAUUGGUGUCUCCCAAUUCUAACUCUUGGUGCUUAUACCAAAAGCAAGCAUCGGACUGAAUAUUUCUGCAAAAAAUUAGCUUCAAGAUCGCUAUCUACGAUAUUUCGAUCAUUUGAUUUCUUUUCCUUUUCUUUUUUUUUGCGAAACACCAUUUGAUUUCUUGAUGGUGAUGAGUUAACUGUGUUGUGAGGUGAGAUAAUCCAUUGUCUCAAAUCAUUCCUGAUGUUGAGACCUUUAGUAAAAUGGCAUUUUGAGAAUAUUGUGGAUUGCUUUAAUUUUUACAGCUAGUGCUUGCAAACUCUGUAUGUGUCAUUCAGACAGCUUGAUUGCAUAUGACCUUCCUCAACAAUACAUUCAUUUUAUGACAUGCUUUUCAGGUUAGGUUGGAGAAAAAGAGGGCAAACUGAAGAUUGCGCUAAUGAAAACAAAUUUUCAGCUUAUGCUCCAAUAAUUUUCUAAAUCCUAUUAUCAUUAAUUAGUUUGAAGAAACGAUGGGAUCUGUAACCUGGUAAAGCUACCCAUUUAUAUGGAGACUCAAAAGACUUUCUAAUUUGCGCAGGUCAGCAGUGAUUAAAACAUUGCAUAAUUCUUUCUAUUUAUUACCAUGUAGUUUCAGCUUUUGUACCCGUUGAUUUGUCUAUGAAAUUAUGUGCACCGGAUUAAGGAAAGGUUAUGCCAAAAAUGGUGCUAGCUCAAUGACAACAAGACGUGAGCAAUAUAACCUAAUUAUCCAAUUUUGGUUGGUGGACAUGUGAUUUCCACCGUCGAAACUCCAAAAUUACAUUAAAAAUUGGGCCGGAGAAAUUAUUACACAGCUGUUUACCGCACUAAACAAUGAACUUUCGUGGCAAAAGAAAAUAAUAAAAUGAAGGGUCGUAGACAUGCCUGUUUCCAAUUUCUCUCUUGACAGGCCAACAGACCAACAUUGAUGAGAGGGCUACUUAGACUCCCUGAUACAUUUCUCCUAGGAGAGGCCUCGGAAUCUGCUGAAUGUCUAACUGAAGGACUCUAUAGAAUAAAAGAGAAUGUCUGUAAGUAAUAAUCAUCAAAUUUAUUUGUUGAAAGCCUGCAUCAAUCAUCAAUUACACUGCAUUGUGUUAACGGUAGGCCAUGUUAGCUAUUAUGUAUCCAAAAAGAUCAAAUUAAAUUUGAACCAGAGAAUCAAGAAAGAGAUGAAACAGAUGAAACGACCUACUAUGAGCCAAGAAAUUAUCUGUAUGUUUAAACUCUGAAUUAUCAAACAAUUCUAAAUUAAGCUGGUUUACAUAAAAGGAAAAGGUGUGUACUCCGUAUGAGCAUGGGCUUCCUAUUUUUAAGUUUUAAACCUGCUGAAUCAGAACGAUUUUAUGGCAUAGAGGUACUGAAUUACUGAUAAAGAAAACAUUGCAGAGAACAGUAACAUAUACACAAUGAAGGCGGAUCGCACAGAUGGUAGCAUGGCGCAGGGUAAGAAGAAGGCACGGAGCGGCGUUUUUUUUUAAAUUGAUUUAAUUUAGAAUAAAUACCACAGCAUUCUCACGUGGUACCUCUGCUGCUGCACAAAUUAUAGCAAAGACCGUCCGCCGCACGCGUACUGCUUCUACACAGUCCCGUGUCAUAGGCACACCGCACACACGUAUGGCUGCACUACAAAGCCGUUCCCCUGCCGAUGCAGAAGCAGCAAGCCAGCAUUAUUAGGGUAGAAUCAAACACUUUACACUUCAGGGUUACAUUCACAACUGCCUAUGAGCAGGCAUUUACAAGCAGCAGUGCAAUGCUUCAAAUUUCAGUGUGGUAUUGUUUACCCACAGAGGAAUUUCUAUACAAGUUCAUUAUCAUUGCACUGACAAGUGAGAGCAUUGUAGUAAUGGAAGAAUGGAGGCAUGUUCAAGCGUAUCAAGGACUCGAGGUAGCCGAUUGUAUUGCCGUACGAACAAGAGCAGAGCAGCAUGUUUUCUUGCCAUCGCCGCCAAAUGCACUCUGCAGAAAGCCAUCUUCAUUGAUGUGGCCGACGUCCCCGAGCUUCUCAAGGAUCCAAUGGCCGUUCUCACCGGAAAUAUGGAUCUCGCUGAUUGAAGUGUUGGGGAUUCUUCUGCGAACCAAUGUCGUCAUUGGAUUGGCGUGCCUGCAGAUUUCCUCUAUGGUGGCGCCAUGGGAGACCACAACCACACGCUCCCCUGCGAAUGCAACAUGUCAGCGCAACAGCGUAAAUAACGGUUCCAGUUUGGAGUUUGGAGUUGAUGAAGAAUUGGCAGCCAUAGUUAUGCAUCAUCAGGUGCAGGUUUUGACGGAGCUAGUAGCACUACUGUAAAUUGGACCUAGGUUUUAUCUGCUGCAUUGUACUGAAUACAGAUAGCACGAAGGAAUUGAGAAGCUAAAGAGUAAUCUGAAUCAGAUCAUUGCUUACCCUUGUGCUUGUCAGCUAUCAUGUUCAAGUAGGAAACACGGCGCUUGGAAAGUUGAUCAAGACUCUCCCCACCACCCUACCAAAAAAAUGAACGGAUUAGAUAACUAGUAUACAGCAACCAGAAGGAAAAAUGACUGUCACUGAUUCAGAAGGAUUCAAGGUAGCUUUGGGAGGAGAAUGGAAGUUAGUUACAGGAAUUUCUUGGUUUCGGUCAUCUGAUGAGAAAGCCUUUUUAUCGCCCAACAGCAGCAAUGCGUCAACCACAGUGUUAUAAAUCUGCACAUUGGGGGGCAAUCCUCUCACCCUCAUCUCCCCAAGCAAACUCCCAAUCGUCUCCAGAUCACCUUUCCUCCCGAGCCAGUUAACAAUAGAACCAUAUGUCACCACAGUUGGCAAAAAUCCUUUCGUGUCCAUAUCGCCCAACAAAAGCAAUGCCUUCCCAAUGUCCCCGCGCCGGCACAUUGUAGAACACGGCGUGCGGAAUGCACUCAGCUCCCCACCUCGCCUCAAUCAGCUUCAUCCCCUCCUCCACCCGCCCUUCCAAGCACAUCCCUCUGACCAUCGCGCAGGUGCUGUAGUUAUCCGCGCCGCCCUCCUCCGCAAGCAUUUCGUCAUACAGCUUCCGGGCAUCCUCCCAUCGCAGGCGCUCCACGAGAAGCCUGAGCAGGCGGUUGCAGUGCCUCGCCUCCGGGAGCGUGCUGUGCAUCUCCCUGGCGCGAGCGCACGUCUCGGCGGCCUUCCCUUCCAUCCCGGCGUCCGCGGGAGCGGGGUGAUGCGGGGCAGGAGCGGCGGCCGCGGCGCGAGGUGUGGGAGCGUUUAGAGAAAAAGGAAAGAAAGAAAGAAGAAUGGCUAGUUCAGUUGCUCGGUCCACAUUGGAACUGCUGCUUCUUCUCCUUGGUAGUGCUUCUGCUAACUUUCCAAAAAAAAAAUACUUCACUGAAAAUAAAAUAAAAGUUCACUGACAAAUGAGAGCAUUGUAGCCAUGAAGGAACGAAUUUACUAUAUGAUACGGUAGUGUUUCUAUUAACUUUCAAAAAAAAUACAUUUCACAAAUUACAGGGUGAUUGACUAAAAAUAGAAGUUCUCACGGACAAAUGAGCUACAAUGGAGGAAGGAAUGAAGGCAUCACCUAUGCUUUAACAGUCUGUAUGAACAUGAGCAGCAUAUUUUCGGUUACAAUGUACUCUGCGGGAAGCCAUCUCCGAUGAGGUGUCCGGCGUCCCCGAACUUCUCCAGGAUCCAGCGGCCAUCGGAACCGGAGAUAUGGACAACGCUGAUUGAGGUGUUAGGAAUUUUCCUGCCAACCGAGAUCGUUGGAUCGGCGUGCCUGCAGAUUUCCUCUAUGACUGCCUCAUGGGAGACGACGACCACCCGCUCACC